GCACGGCUCAAACAAAAAUACUUAUAACUCGAUGAAAUAUUAACGGAUUUACAAACAUUUUACAUUAUUACAAAUCGUAUGAUACAGAGACUACAUGUUGAAAUUACCGCUAUUACUUUUGAAACACGGCAUAAUUGUGAACAUUGUGUCCCGGCUAAGCUAUUUUGCGCGUUAGGUUGAGAGAGAGAGACCACAAUAUUUGUAUAGGGUUCGCAGGGGCGGAUUUAGCAAUCUGGGGGCCCAAGGCGAACACAGACAUGGGGCCCCUUACACUGAAUUUUCAACAAUCUUACCUUUAACUGGAUUUGCGAAACUCUCCCCUCUUCUGACAUGAGUUAUUUUCCCUUUUUAUUAGUCCUCCUCUUUUUUCCUGUCUUUCCCUCCCUUUGAGUGCCUUGAAUAUUUGCUCUGCUUUCUUCAUCCUGUCAGUGUUCCUGUGCUUUUGCCUUAGUUAUUUUUUUUUCUCCAUUUUCCAUUUUGGUCUAUGUUUGCCUCCCUUUAAACAUUUUCCAUUGUCUUUCCUUUCUGCCUCCCUUUGAUGUUUACAUCGAAAAACUACGUCACUUUCAGAAGUGAAAAUAAAUUUCUCAUAUUCGAGCCACUAGGAUAACUCCAUUUCAUGCUUAAUGUUUUGACUAUUGCUUUGGGUUUGUUACGAACUUUGCCGCCUCUCUUCUUCUUCAUAUUUGUGGUCUUAUGGUACUUGGCAAACAACAAUUUGGUGCAUUACCGCCACCAACUGGAUUGGAGUGGAAUGACUACCAAUCACUUCCAGUUUGUGCAUCGCCAUCUUAAUAACCCUCUUAUGACCAUAAUUAUAACAGGGCCGCCUGGUAUUGUUUUAAUCUUAUGGCUGUAAACUUGUAAUAAAAAGCGCAAAGUGUGUGUAACUCUUCUCCUUUUUUCAGAACAACCUCAGCUUUUAGUGUAUGGUUUGUAUUUAGAAUUUAUUUCUAUUAAAGCCUUUAAAAAAUCAGCUUAAAAGUGAAAAAGGCAAAAAAAAUGGAUUUGAAUUUUUUACAUUUAUUACCGAACAGGAACUUCAAAAUUACUGGGCAAACAAUUUAAACUUUGAACUGAAAUGCAUCUAUUCUUAAAACAGUGUGAACCUUGGUAUCAUUUUUAACUGUUUUUAAGACCAUUUAUUUUUGUAAACUUUCAGACGUUUUUAUUUGAUGUGGUAGACCUUGAAGCAGUUUCUCUCCAGCUGCAGGCAGAGUCCUGCACACCUCACACUGCUAUGGGGGGCUUCUCUUGCACACCGUGCACUGCUAUACCAAAAACUUUUGUUUUAGCAAAAAUAAUUAUUUAUUGUAAAAAGAUAAAUAAUGCUGGAAUGAUGCUGAAUCUUACAAUGAGCAAAUAGUUGAGGGUUGUUCAAAUAAAAAAAUAAAAAAUAAAGACUGAACAAACGUUCAUAUCCUGGUUCACUGGAGAUCUGUCCUUCUUCAUGGUCACUGUCUUCAGAUAUAAGCCUUCUGGGACACCUAAUAGAUCGUGUUGAUUUUCUUUGAGGCAUUUCCAUAAUUUCAUGCUGGUUUUUAUGCUGAUUAGCUUCCCUGUUCCGUUAUCUGCUUUCACCGCGUCACUGCGCUCCGUUUCAAUCAGGCUGUACAGCAGGAUUUCCCCUCGUAGCGAUAUUUUCCCUAACUCUGAUUGCUUCAUGCUAUAGAUCGUUGGAACGCUGCUUUUAUGUACUUUUAGGAACCGUUGGAAUUUCCUGGAUCUGAUCAGCCAUCCAAAAGUUAUAAAACGGAGCAUUUUGGAUGACAAACUCAGCACGUCUCUGAAUCUGUGUUGUGAUUCGUUGCGCUCAAGACAGGGAAUCCCGGUGGCUACCGUAAUGUCUUGUAUAUGCAUGAAAAGCCCCAUUUUUAAUCUUUUCAGCACUUUUGGAAUUUUAAUGAUAUCUUGAACGGUUCAGGAAUUAUGGCAAUGAGAAGUGCGCAUGUCCAAUCUCGUCUGCGGCCGCAGGUUGGUAAUAAGAAUUUUGUGGCAUUAACAGAGGGGUGCCGGCGGUCAGGGCUAGGGGGCCCCCCAACACAAGGGGGCCCCAGACGGCCGCCUACCUAUGCCUAAUGGUAAAACCGCCUCUGAGGGUUCGUACGGUUCAAUGAAACUAAGAAGUGUACGUCAACCUAAUGUUUGUCUAAAUGGCUGUCUUGGUGGAUGUUUUAGUGUUUAUUAGCUGCCUAACUUGGCUUAGAGAAGACGAGGCUGCCGUGGCUGAGCUGCUGACCUACAGUGUUUUACCUCAGUGGAAGCGGAGGAAAUACACGUGAAACCCAACAAGCAUGCCUGACUUUUGCGCUGCCUAUGGAUGUCUUCAAUCACGACAACGCGGGAUCACCUUCAUUAAUUUCCCAAGGAUGGAGAAAGGAGGAGGCAGUGGGAAGUUGCCCUGAGACGUGUCUGCGAUCUUCCUCAGAGCUGACGCUCGGUGGCGUCAUGAUCAAAACAGUCAGCAAGGAUUUGUUGUGCGGCGAGCCAUGACCAAGCUGUCCUGUGAUGUCUGCCGUGCCAGCCGGGUGAUGGAUGCUGCAUCUGCCUGUGAUGACCACAGCUACCAACGGGGGUCUUGUGGUCCUAUCUGAAGGUACUGUGAGGGUCAUCAGAGCAGUAGCUUGGGCAAUUCGCCAGGCAUCAGUGGGCAGACGAUCACAGCCCAUCAAACCACUGGAGGUCGUCUACAUCGUGAGCAAGAGGAUCGGGUCAGAGGACGUCUUUUUGCUCGGGGAGCACAUCAGUGAGACACAGUGCAGAAUUGAGUCUCACUCCCAUUAACUGUUGACAUCUGUUGUCUCCCUGUUCAAGCUGAGGAUGCACCACAUUGCAAGAUUAGCAACUCUUAGCUUUCAGUGUGACAGCGUGAGACAGAAGCUCACAAAAGCUGUCCUUUUCAAAGGUCACUAGGGAACCACAAUGUGCUUUAGCAUCUGUCUUAGAUCUGUUAUUUUUAUAAUCAAAAACAUGUAUAAUCUGUAAUAAACAAGUUUUUCGUAACUGUCA